rnacentral:rRNA from 1 species
GACGAACGCUGGCGGCGUGCCUAAAACAUGCAAGUAGAACGCUGAAGGAGGAGCUUGCUUCUCCGGAUGAGUUGCGAACGGGUGAGUAACGCGUAGGUAACCUGCCUGGUAGCGGGGGAUAACUAUUGGAAACGAUAGCUAAUACCGCAUAAGAGUAGAUGUCGCAUGACAUUUGCUUAAAAGGUGCAACUGCACCACUACCAGAUGGACCUGCGUUGUAUUAGCUAGUUGGUGAGGUAACGGCUCACCAAGGCAACGAUACAUAGCCGACCUGAGAGGGUGAUCGGCCACACUGGGACUGAGACACGGCCCAGACUCCUACGGGAGGCAGCAGUAGGGAAUCUUCGGCAAUGGACGGAAGUCUGACCGAGCAACGCCGCGUGAGUGAAGAAGGUUUUCGGAUCGUAAAGCUCUGUUGUAAGAGAAGAACGAGUGUGAGAGUGGAAAGUUCACACUGUGACGGUAUCUUACCAGAAAGGGACGGCUAACUACGUG